AUGACCAAAACAUUUAGAAGACGCAAAAAGAGAAAGGAAGAUGGUUACCUGGAGGGACAGAACUGUGAUGGUGGUAGGAGGCGUGGUCAAUCAUCGCGAGCGGAGCCCAGAUCGGCAGAGCUGAGCGUCACUGGCGGAAUCGGUCUUCGUUGUGUGUUGACAUCGGCAAAGCUGGACGGUUGUUCCGGCACUAAUUUGUGUCGGCGGAGUGGAUUGUCGGAGUUAACGGUUGUCGGAAGCCGCAAAGCUUUGGAGUUUUUGCUGGUUCUCGCGGCGAGCAUCGCGUUGGGACUUUGCAAAGGGUACUCGCAGUAA